rnacentral:tRNA from 1 species
GGGCGGUUAGCUCAGUGGUAGAGCAUCACGUUGACAUCGUGAGGGUCACAAGUUCGAAACUUGUACCGCCCACCA